ensembl:lncRNA
CCUGAUUUUCAGAGUUUCAAUAAAACGUAAUUAUACUUUAUAAUUCCGCUCUUUUAAUCUUCACUUCAAAAACUAUUCACAGUGAGCAAGUUUUGCCAGGCACAGGGAGGCAGAGCGGCCCUUCCCCACAUCGGGCUGCUCACAAAUUCUGUCUUGGGGUAAACCUGUCACCAAACGGCGCAACCCAAGCUGCUUUGCAUUCCGAUUAAUAGCCCGCCUCAUUUGAAUACAAAAUAGCCCCGUUUAUGUGGUUAUUAAAAAAAAAAAAAAAAAAAGUAACAAAACCAUUUGGCAGCGAAAGGAUGUUUGAGCCAGGAUGCGUCUUUUCUGUCCUUAUUUCUUUUUCUUCUUCUUUUUUAAAUCCUGAAUGGAAUAUACUUUGGUGUCAGGACGCUUUCGUAUCGAUGGCGAGGCACUCAAAGCAGUGCCUAUAAGAACCAAAUGGGGAACGCGUGCUCUGGGAGUCAGAAAGUUCUCGUUACCCCAAAACCUAAUCAGAUUUCAGGGGUUUUAGUGUGAGUAAAUCUUCACAUCUUGUCCUCUGCUAUGUUGAGAGAAACGCCAGCAGUUUCAUUAAGAACUCCUGUUCCUAAAUAAUUCCAUGGAUUUAUUUAGAAGAGCAGAGAAGAGGAGGAGGGGAGGAAUGCGGCAAUUGCACCUUCCUCUCCCAACCCAAAAUAUCCAGACUUGAAGACCAUUCCUUGGAAAUUCAGACUGAGGCCACAGAACAGCAGAGCCCAGCUGAUGCCAUCAACACAACUAGGAAUCUCUUAGCACUCACCUGCAAGCAAAUCUCCAUGUAAGUGAUGAGACUGGAGCCAAUACACGAACAAGAAGGAUCUGGGGACUCCCAAGCUCCCUUCCAAAGCCAGCAGAGUUGUAUGAGCUGCUACCUUAGCAUCUCCUUGGAGCUGGGCCAGCACAUCAAGGGUGAAGAGGAGUUGAAUCCUGCCUUUAGCUCUGGCCCUGGUUUUCCACGUGGGGUUCCUCUUCCAAUGAAUGCAGCCACACACCACUCCAGAUGUUCAAAGAGGGACCAGCCUCCCACAGACCCUAUGGGAAUGAUGAACAAAAGGACAGUGAGCAACGACGUGUCUUCAAAUCUUCAGUUCACAAGCCACCAUGGGCUGUUUGCCCUGUACGUUAUAGGAAGCAAAGCAUAAUCUCAGCUGGGUCACAGGUGAACAAGUAGGUGCUGUUGCCCUCAGGCAGCUUGACGGGAUACCAUCACCUACUGGACACAGCGUGUUAAAGAUGAACCUCCUUUAAAAUAGCUAAUGACCUUCAGCCUGCUAACUCCAUGUGUGCCCAGCUGCUUGUUAGAGGUCAAGAAAUGCCUGGUUAAAAGCUCCUGCCCCAACUCCCACCCAGCAUGGCCAAGUCUCCUGAGACUUGCUUGGCAGCCCAACCACAUAUGGAGCUGAAUCACAGUACACAUUCCUCCACUGGGGUCCUCUCAAUGUUAGGAGACGACAUGGCCUGCCCCAAUGGACAUAGGAAUAGUUUUUCCAGGAAACAUAUUGACAUAUAGGAAGAAAGUUCUCUGCAUCAGCCAAUGCAGAGCCCUCAAACAGGGGUAGGAUGCAUCCAAACUUGUAUUAUUAUUAUUUAAUAAACAAGUUAUUGUGCCUUUUUCUUGAAUCCACAAUAGGAAAAGGGUAGAUGUGGCACCGAGGGAUAUGGUUAGUGGACGUGGUGGGGAUAGGUUGAUGGCUGGGCUAGAUGGAAAAGAUCUUAGCGGUCUUUUCCAAACUUAAUGAUGUUAUGAUUCUAUGAAGGAAUAAAUCAAACGGCUUUUUGCAUCCAUCAUCUCUUUAGACAGGACUUGCACAGUGCUCUCAGCUGCUGAAAAGCCUCACUAACCUAAUCUAAGUGAAAAUUUAACAAUCAAA